GACGAACGCUGGCGGCGUGCUUAACACAUGCAAGUCGUACGGUAAGGCCCAUUCGGGGGUACACGAGUGGCGAACGGGUGAGUAACACGUGAGUAACCUGCCCACAACUUUGGGAUAACGCUAGGAAACUGGUGCUAAUACUGGAUAUGUGCUCCUGCUGCAUGGUGGGGGUUGGAAAGCUCCGGCGGUUGUGGAUGGACUCGCGGCCUAUCAGCUUGUUGGUGGGGUAGUGGCCUACCAAGGCGGCGACGGGUAGCCGGCCUGAGAGGGUGACCGGCCACAUUGGGACUGAGAUACGGCCCAGACUCCUACGGGAGGCAGCAGUGGGGAAUAUUGCACAAUGGGCGCAAGCCUGAUGCAGCAACGCCGCGUGCGGGAUGACGGCCUUCGGGUUGUAAACCGCUUUCAGCAGGGACGAAGCUUUUUGUGACGGUACCUGCAGAAGAAGCACCGGCUAACUACGUG
rnacentral:rRNA from 1 species